rnacentral:lncRNA from 1 species
CAGACAGAAUUAGAACUCAUCGGUAUAUUAUAGAGGAUCAAAAACUGCAUGUACAAACUGAUUUCGCUUGGUACAUGAACAAAGUAACUUUUGUCAAUGUUCAGUGCAGUGUCCCAAGUAUCCCAUGCUACAAAUAAGUUCAAUCCAAAUCCAGCAGAUUUGGAUUAUUUUAAAUAUUAUUAUGUACGUAGCCGAAAAGAAACAGCUAAAAGUCUGUAAAUUUAUCAGAUAUUUUGUCAAAUUCUUGGGUAUUUUAGACGAAUUCAUGAAUUAGUUUAACUAUUUAUUUACAUACUUCUUAACAGUUUGAAUUUAUAUAAUAAAAAACGACAAAUCCCCUGGCUUAGGGCCCAUUUCUAAAUAAAAUAAAUAGAAAAAUAGCUAAAAUCAUAUAUAGCUAUGAAAUACCUCCUUCUUUCAUGCUGUAGUUUGUACCCCUGAAACAAUGUCUUUCUCUUUCCGGUCUCAGCGUUGAACGUGAAAGGAAGGUUUUUCUUUCUCAAAAUGCCUGCCCACAAGACGUUCCGUAUUAAGACUAAAUUGGCGAAGAAGCUAAAGCAGAAUCGUCCAAUUCCUCAAUGGAUCCGUAUGCGAACAAAUAAUACAAUUCGCUACAACGCGAAGAGGCGUCACUGGAGAAGAACCAAGCUAAAGUUGUAAACUAUCUUUGGUCUAUGGAUCCUUCGUGUCUCAAACAUAUAUAUUGUUUCAAAUACAACCUAGAAAAAUAAAUCAGCGUUAUCAACCUGUCUUGAGAUAAUUGUAUAAUUGCUAA